rnacentral:lncRNA from 1 species
GUCAUGUUGUUGGAUGGCACCAGUAUGUGACGUUCCUAGGAACUUAGCUCUGAGGAAAAAACAAAGCAAACCGGGGAAGUACGUAGCCUUGAACCGGAGUAACCAGGGACAGAAAGGAAGGAAAAGGGUUUCAUACCUUCACGGAACGACGCUCACUUCGUCCGCCUGAGGAGGAAAAAUAAGUUUAAACCUUUCUGUGAAAAAGAACGUGGAGCCCUUUCUGCCGAAUGGAAACCCGCUAAACCCCGUUAUGGAGUCUGCUACAAUUAAGCAUCUAACCAGGAAUUGUCUAUGGACACAACUCUCCAGGCAAUUCAUGCAGAAAGUGUGUUGACGAUUUCCUGUUUCUUGCAGAGCGCUUCACCGUUAAGGCUCUUAGUAGCUGGCGAUUGUAAAGCACAUUUUCCGCUUCAUGAAAAUACAGUGCUCUUCUUGUGUUUGUAACCUUGGAAAUCUCAACUCUCAUGAGUCUGGAAUUUUGCAAAAGCCUGAUAAACUUGUCACAUGAUUCCAGUGUCUACCCAUUCCUUGUAAGUAACCAAGAUAUUCUUGCCUGAUUAAAUGCUUUGAAAAUAUCAUCUUAGGCCAGGCGCAGUGGCUCACACCUGUAAGCCCAACACUUUGGGAGGCUGAGGUGGGCGGAUCACUUGAUGUCAUGAGUUCGAGACCAGCCUGGCCAAUAUGGUGUAACCCCGUCUCUACUAAAAAUACAAAACUUAGCUGGGUGUAGUGGCGGGCGCCUGUAGUCCCAGCUACUCGGGAGGCUGAGGCAGGAGAAUAGCUUGGACCCGGGAGGUGGAGGUUGCAGGGAGGUGGAGGUUGCAGGGAGGUGGAGGUUGCAGUGAGCUGAGAUCACGCCACUGUGCUACAGCCUGGGCGACACAGUGAGACUCCGUCUCAAAAAAAGAAAAAAAAAAAAAUAUCAUAUUGUAUUGGCCAUCCCUUGUUUCAUAUUCGUUAAUAAACUUUGCUACUUUGCUUUCUAAUUUCGGUGAAGAACAAGCACAAGAUUAAGGAGUAAGACUAUGUGAAACUGGGUUAUAAAUUGAAAGGCUGUUGGCUGUUGUAUCUUGUAAACAAUUCAACGCAAUGCCAAGUGAAAAUGAAGUUGUUAGUCCCUCUAUCUAGAAUUCUUUCCCAAAUAGCUGCAUAUCUUUUUCCUCUGCUUCAUUUAAGUCUGUGCUGAAAUGUUAUCUACUCAGAGAAGACAUUCUGGAUCAUUUCAUAUUAAAUAGUAACUUUUAUCACUCUA